AAUUCCAAGUUAAAUUCAUGGCCUUUUUUGUCAAAGGUUCUUCCUUUAAGUGAAGAGUGUUUUCAGAGAAUUCAAUUGAUUAUGGAGCGCGGAGAGAAUCAAACUCCGCAAGGCCAAACAGCUCAAGUUUUGGUUGAAUUUUUGGAGGUGGCUAUCACUGCUGUUGUUUUUCUCAAAGGGGUUUAUCCUUCUGGUGCAUUUGAGAGGAGUAGGUAUAUGAACAUGGUGGUUCAAAGGGCUUGCCAUCCUCAGCUUAGAUACUACUUACAUUCUACUGUUUCAGGACUUUUUCCCUUUCUACAAAAGGGUAUGGUAGAAAGAGUGGCUGUUAUUUUCUUCAAUGCUGAAAAUAUUCCACUGGAGAAGUUUGUUUUCAAGCUUUCAGUGAACCAGACUUAUGGUGCAGCAGUGGAUGAGGUUGAUCUUGAGUUCUCUCUCAGAUCAUUCCUGAUCAAGCUGUCAAUCUCAGAAUCUCUUACUAAGGAGAUUCCUGCUGAUUCCAGGUGGGAGAUAACUGCGUACUUUCGAUCCCUUCCCGAGACUGGUACAGCCAAGGACAUCUGGAUCCCAACUGACACAAAGCCGUGGCAGCAGCCUCCGCUUAUAACCCCUAUCAAGUCAAUGAGUAGUGAGCCUCUGUGUUUGCAGUUGUACUUAGAGCAUCCGAGUUUAUCAGAAUCAAUGCUUUGAGAAGGGUCAGAUGAUGUACACAUAUAAACAUGUAUGGCAAGAAUGUAGGUAUCCAAACAUAGAAAUAGCUACACCUUGAAGCUAUCAGCUUCAGAAGAAGUACAGGAAUGCAGACUCCUUUGUUAGACCAUGGAAAAAUUUAACCUACACAAGUAAAAACUUGUGUAUGGUUGCACAUUGGCCUUUUGACCCACUAUAGCAGGUUUAAAAAAAAAAUAAAAAACAUAUUUUCUUAAUUAAAUAUUUAUUUUUAAUUAAUUUCAAAAAAAAUAUUUAUUCUUAAUUAAUCAUCUUUUCCUAACAACCAAAACCCAGAAAAAAAAAUCAUUCUCAUCAUAUCAUAUCAUCCAACAAAAACCCAUUAACCAUCAGAACCCUAGCUGCCACCUCAUUAGCCUCGUCGCCACACAUCCAUGGCCGUGCCGCUGCCGCCACCGCCACCUCCUGACCUCGUUUCCUUCUUCUCAACCGCACCUCCACCUCUUCUCCUCUUUCCUCCGUCGGCGCAUUUCCCGGCGACCACAACACCCUCUUCCUCCCUCGACGCCUUCCAUAUCUCUCCUCCACUUCUAGUCUCAGAUCUGCGUGGAGGUGGCGUGUGUGUUUCAGAAGUUGCGAUGGUUCUCCUUCUUGGGUCGUGUCCUCUUUGUUUCUCAGUGGUUGUGUUGCGAUGAGACCACAAAUCUGGUGGUGGAGGCGUUGAGGACCGCAACCGUACCUGCAGAUCUGGUGCUUGUGGCGGUAUUUGGCCUUAACGCUGCCCUUGCUUCUGCAGAUCUGGAGGAAGGGAGAGGUGGUGACCGGCGGUGGGAAAAUGAUGGGUUUCUGAGUUUGCCUAUGCACAUGAGAUGAUUUGCACGGAGGUUAUUAGGUUAAUAGCUUUCAUAAAAAUUCUCUACGUUCCUGUAGGUUUUGGAUGUUCAAUGAUAUUCCAGAAAAAUAGAGGGAAAAUAAGUUAAUUGAUGGUGGCCUUGACAUAAGUUGAUUGGAAAAUAUAUCUCUGGUUAAUCGUGAUACAAAUCUGUUCAAUUUUGUGGUCAUAGUUUUCACAAAUGAAGCUCUGAUUUAUAUUCAAGAAUUGUACUAGAUGUAAGCUUUGCAUAAAUUGUAUUGCCGGUGAAACUUGCACAAAAUUAAGAUUCUGGGGUUGAAAAAAUGGAUGAGAUGAGACAAUAGAGACAUGUUAUGAUAAUUUUGGAGUUGAAGGUUCAUGUUUUCUUGCCUAAAACCCCACUACAGAUCCAGAAAAACAUUGCAAAAUUCAGAUCCAGGAAAUGGAUAAUUGCAGAGGCAGAGAGCAUUUUUCAGAGAUGAAAGGGGAGAGAGGAUAGUGAAGUAAUUAAGGAUAAUUAUCUAAUUCUUCAUUAACUAAUUUACUAAUAUAUAUGUAUUUUGAUUUUUUUUAAUACCUGCUAAACCUGCUAUUGUAGGUCAAAAGUAGCUUGUGUAACCUUACACAAGCAUUCAAUUGUGCACCGUAAAUUCCUCCUUAGACCAUGUACAAUGGUUUGUUUAAUUUACCCCCUCUCAACCCCGCUUUUUCUUUUCCCAACACUCCACAUCAUCUUCUCUCUCCAAUUCAACACUCAUUCAACUUUUACCCACUUCAAUGGUUUUUCAUUCAACACCCUACCCCACCACUCACCCUACCCCACCACUUUUUUAUUUCAUAUUUUUAUUUAAUUUUAUAUUUUUGUUUUUAUUAUUUACAUAAAAUUACAAUUAUUGUUUUAAAUUAAAUUAAAACAAUAAACACUUAACAAGAUGGUGAGAAGAAUUCUGGGUGUUGAAAUGGUAAUUGUUGAGAUCUAUUUCAAAACAAAGGCUGAUAGAAAGGUAAUAAGAUGGUGAAAAACUUGGUUUUUUUUGUGUCUAAAUCAAACGAACCAAGUCUCUAUUUAUAGAGGAAAAAAAGUUAUGAAUUUUGGUUAAAAAAGUUUUUGCAAUUUUGUUUUCAACGAGAUAAUUCAGUUUAAAAGAUUUAAAAACAAAAAAUCCGCCCAACCAAUCAGGUGCUGCCACGCGUCCCAACCCAAUCUCCAGCCGUUUCUCUCUCUCCCUCCACUGCAACUGACGCGCCCUGUCGGCGCGUGUGGUGCACGUGCCUUGGCGUGACCACUCGCGUGCUGCCACGUGGCUCCGGGCAGCUCUCUCAACAAUGUUUAACCCUCUCAACACUUCUCUCCUCCACCUCAUCUUCAACAAAACCUCAACAACCACUACAAAUCCUCAACAAACUUCAACAUCCCUCUAAACAUACCAUUGCAAAUGGUCUUACAUGUUUGCUUAUGUGUUUGAAACCACUGUGAUUUUCAAGGACAUAUGUUAGGAACCCAAUUGCAAGGUAUGCAUGGGACUUGAGUCCCACAGUGGAAGUAUGAGAAUCUAAUGAGGUUUAUAAGGUCUUGGGCUCUCCAACUACAACAACUAGCUUUUGUGGUAUGGUUCUCCCAAGGUUUUAAUCUACAUAGUUCAAGUCAGGGAUGACCAGUGGUGGAAAGCUCUAUCUUCAUGUUGUCACUUAUGUGAACCAGUGGGCAGCAACAUCUAUCUGGGAAGCAUUGAUCUUAUUAUUUCAGUUUUAAAGCCUAUGGGUCAAAUGAUCCUUUUGCUUAGUAGAUCAUUCAGUAAUCACUUUAUUGUCGCAGAGUUGUGUUGGGCAGAACCAGUGUACAGUGACAGUGUCACCUGAAAAUUUUGGAGGAGAUCCAUGUCCAAAUGUCAUGAAGAAACUUCCAGUGGAAGCCAUUUGCACCUGCCACCUGAUCAUUUUGCUGACGCGGUACACUGUUUCUUUUGUUGGUUGAUGGCAUUUAUUAUGUAUGCUUCACUGAUCAAUGUGGUUCUUCUUGUUCUAUGCAACUCAAAAUUUACUGAUUGAAGUGGCAGCAGAUUCACUAAAUGAUGGACUUCAAGAGGAAAUAGAUGCAAUAUGUAGUAUUACAACUUGCCAACUUCAAUGUAGGAGGCACUCAUAAAGGACGCGGAAAUUGAAUAGAAAAUGAGGUGUUCCAAAGCUUUUGCCAGACCAAGCUACCAUUAAUUCAUGCAUUCUGCCAAUCUAAGUUGGUUGAUUCCGUGGUGAAGUUGAAUAAAUACAACGAGACUAGCUUAAUAUUGUGAUGAAGAAUAAGAAGUGACUGACCAAUCAUGCUUCUCCUUUCCAUGAGUUUGUGUUAUUUUGUAUCUGUCAUUUCAUUUGUAUCAAGUAGAAAACUGUAUAGUUUGAACUAGUAUUGUGGAAAAUCAUUUAUACCCCAAAUAGUUUUAGUUAUUGUUUGUUCCCUUCAUAAAAAGCAAUGGAUGCGAUGUUCGUCAAGCUUCAAAAUAACCGGUUGAACAAUAUUAGUCUCCACUGUCAUUACUUUGCA